rnacentral:rRNA from 1 species
UACGAAGGGGGCUAGCGUUGUUCGGAAUCACUGGGCGUAAAGCGCACGCAGGCGGACUGCUAAGUCGGGGGUGAAAGCCCGGGGCUCAACCCCGGAACUGCCUUCGAUACUGUCAGUCUCGAGUCCGGGAGAGGUGAGUGGAAUUCCUAGUGUAGAGGUGAAAUUCGUAGAUAUUAGGAAGAACACCAGUGGCGAAGGCGACUCACUGGCCCGGUACUGACGCUCAGGUGCGAAAGCGUGGGGAGCAAACAGG